rnacentral:rRNA from 1 species
CCUACGGGAGGCAGCAGUGAGGAAUAUUGGUCAAUGGCCGGAAGCCUGAACCAGCCAAGUAGCGUGCGGGAUGAAGGCCCUACGGGUUGUAAACCGCUUUUGUACGGGGAUAAAACGCUCCACGUGUGGCGUUUUGCAGGUACCGUACGAAUAAGGGCCGGCUAAUUCCGUGCCAGCAGCCGCGGUAAUACGGAGGGUGCGAGCGUUAUCCGGAUUUAUUGGGUUUAAAGGGGGCGUAGGCGGACGGUCAAGUCAGCGGUAAAAUGUCGGGGCUCAACCGCGUCGUGCAGUUGAAACUGGGGUGCUUGAGUGCGCGAGAGGCAGGCGGAAUGCGUGGUGUAGCGGUGAAAUGCAUAGAUAUCACGCAGAACCCCGAUUGCGAAGGCAGCAUGCCGGCGCGCAACUGACGCUGAGGCUCGAAAGCGCGGGUAUCGAACAGGAUUAGAUACCCGAGUAGUC